rnacentral:rRNA from 1 species
GAUGAACGCUGGCGGCGUGCCUAAUACAUGCAAGUCGAGCGAACGGACGAGAAGCUUGCUUCCCUGAUGUUAGCGGCGGACGGGUGAGUAACACGUGGAUAACCUACCUAUAAGACUGGGAUAACUUCGGGAAACCGGAGCUAAUACCGGAUGAUAUUUUGAACCGCAUGGUUCAAAAGUGAAAGACGGUCUUGCUGUCACUUAUAGAUGGAUCCGCGCUGCAUUAGCUAGUUGGUAAGGUAACGGCUUACCAAGGCAACGAUGCAUAGCCGACCUGAGAGGGUGAUCGGCCACACUGGAACUGAGACACGGUCCAGACUCCUACGGGAGGCAGCAGUAGGGUAUCUUCCGCAAUGGGCGAAAGCCUGACGGAGCAACGCCGCGUGAGUGAUGAAGGUCUUCGGAUCGUAAAACUCUGUUAUUAGGGAAGAACAUAUGUGUAAGUAACUGUGCACAUCUUGACGGUACCUAAUCAGAAAGCCACGGCUAACUACGUG